GAUGAACGCUGGCUACAGGCUUAACACAUGCAAGUCGUGGGGAAACGGCAUUAUGUGCUUGCACACUCUGGACGUCGACCGGCGCACGGGUGAGUAUCGCGUAUCCAACCUGCCCCUUACUUGGGGAUACCCCGUCGAAAGACGGCCUAAUACCCGAUGUGUCUCAUUGACGGCAUCCGAUAUGAAACAAAGGUUUUUCCGGUAAGGGAUGGGGAUGCGUCUGAUUAGCUUGUUGGCGGGGCAACGGCCCACCAAGGCGACGAUCAGUAGGGGUUCUGAGAGGAAGGUCCCCCACAUUGGAACUGAGACACGGUCCAAACUCCUACGGGAGGCAGCAGUGAGGAAUAUUGGUCAAUGGACGCAAGUCUGAACCAGCCAAGUAGCGUGCAGGAUGACGGCCCUAUGGGUUGUAAACUGCUUUUAUGUGGGAAUAAAUUGGCGCACGUGUGCGCCAUUGCA
rnacentral:rRNA from 1 species